rnacentral:rRNA from 1 species
UGGGAGGGCAGUCUGGUGCCAGCAGCCGCGGUAAUUCCAGCUCCAAUAGCGUAUAUUAAACUUGUUGCAGUUAAAAAGCUCGUAGUUGAAUUUUAGCGUGUUCGAGUUUGCCAUUCGUUUGGCUUUUUCGAGUUCGCUUUUGGGUUUUCCCUUUUUACUUUGAGAAAAUUAGAGUGUUUCAAGCAGACUUUUGUCUUGAAUACUUCAGCAUGGAAUAAUAGAGUAGGACUUUGGUUCUAUUUUGUUGGUUAUUGAACCUUAGUAAUGGUUAAUAGGAACGGUUGGGGGCA